rnacentral:rRNA from 1 species
GGGCGUAAAGCGUGGCAAGCGGUGANUAAGNCNAAACUAAUUGCCGNGGGUUCAACAAGNGAAGGNACCCAAACNNACAGGNNUNANUNNAACUAGAAGGAGGUGCNNAAACUCAUAUGGAAUUGACGGCACUCAAUGCAGUUGCCGAAACUCAAAUGAAUUGACGGAACUCAAAUGAGUUGCCGAAACUUAAAUGAAUUGACGGAACUCAAAUGAAUUGACGAAACUCAAAGGAAUUGACGGAACUCAAAUGAAUUGACGAAACUUAAAUGAAUUGACGGAACUCAAAUGAAUUGACGAAACUUAAANGAAUUGACGGAACUCAAAUGAAUUGACGAAACUUAAAUGAAUUGACGGAACUUCAGUGAAUUNNCCUAACUUAANGAAUUGCCAUGACCGGGUGUUUG